rnacentral:rRNA from 1 species
AACCUGGUUGAUCCUGCCAGUAGUCAUAUGCUUGUCUCAAAGAUUAAGCCAUGCAUGUCUAAGUAUAAGCACUUGUACUGUGAAACUGCGAAUGGCUCAUUAAAUCAGUUAUCGUUUAUUUGAUUGUACUUUACUACAUGGAUACCUGUGGUAAUUCUAGAGCUAAUACAUGCGAAAAAUCCCGACUCCUGGAAGGGAUGUAUUUAUUAGAUUAAAAACCAAUGCGGAUCUUCGGAUUCGUUUUCUUGGUGAUUCAUGAUAACUUUUCGAAUCGCAUGGCCUAGAGCCGGCGAUAUUUCAUUCAAAUUUCUGCCCUAUCAACUGUCGAUGGUAAGGUAGUGGCUUACCAUGGUUAUAACGGGUGACGGAGAAUUAGGGUUCGAUUCCGGAGAGGGAGCCUGAGAAACGGCUACCACAUCUAAGGAAGGCAGCAGGCUCGAAAAUUACCCAAUCCCGACUCGGGGAGGUAGUGACAAGAAAUAACAAUACGGGGUCUUAAUAGGUCUCGCAAUUGGAAUGAGUACAAUUUAAAUCCUUUAACGAGGAUCAAUUGGAGGGCAAGUCUGGUGCCAGCAGCCGCGGUAAUUCCAGCUCCAAUAGC